UACGUAGGUGGCAAGCGUUGUCCUGAAUUAUUGGGCGUAAAGGGCGCGUAGGCGGUACCCUAAGUCAGAUGUGAAAACCCGAGGCUUAACUUCGGAGGUGCAUUUGAAACUGGGGAACUAGAGUGCAGGAGAGGUAAGUGGAAUUCCUAGUGUAGCGGUGAAAUGCGUAGAUAUUAGGAGGAACACCAGUGGCGAAGGCGACUUACUGGACUGUAACUGACGCUGAGGCGCGAAAGCGUGGGGAGCAAACAGG
rnacentral:rRNA from 1 species